UUACAGUAUACAACCAGAAACGUAAAGUAUUUAUAUAUAUAGGUAUAUAUAGGGCACCUUGAGUGUUUAGUGUCUCAGAAACCUGCUGCAUACUUGUAGUUUGAACUGUGAAGUAAUUCUAGUCACUUCUAAAUGUAGUAUCAAUAUUCAGAAAAAAAAACUGUAUUUUCCCGAAAAGUGUAUUAAUGAGAAUUUAUAUAGGUUUUAAGAAGUGGCUUAGAACUACUAAGUUAUUUCUUUACCAUAAAAUCCCAAAGCAGCAGAGACGCCGAAUAAAAUUGCCAUAGAUAAGGUAGCAGCCGGUCUCUAUAUUUGGCCUCAUAGAAGGUCGUCUUCAUCCAUGGGUUCAAAGGUUCGCUAAGUACGUGAUUAUUAAUGUGAUUAAUUAGUAAAUAAGGAAUGAGUUAACCAAAGUAAAAGGAUGCAUUCUCAAAGAACGGAUAGCCGCUGGGAUAGAAAGAAAUAUUCUAAAGUGGUGACCUCGCACUAGAACACAUUAGGUACUGAGGCAAGCAUCUCACUCGGUGGACCGACAAAUAUUUUUAGUGUACUUCAGUGGAUGUCUUUAAAAUUAAAGUAAAUGCUAACUACUGUAGUUCUAAGUUGUGGGAGCAAGGAUAACGCCUGUGAUAACGCAUAAUAUUUACCGGUAGUAUUUUUUUUUAUUGAUGCAGCUUAGUAAUACAAUUCAUUGCUAGCGAUUAUUUUGGUCUAGAAACAAAAUUAUAUGGGGGAUUUCAGGGCGGUCGAAGGAGAAAAUUCAAAGAUUGUUGACAGAGCUGGAACUGGGU